UACGAAGGGGGCUAGCGUUGCUCGGAAUUACUGGGCGUAAAGGGAGCGUAGGCGGACAGUUUAGUCAGAGGUGAAAGCCCAGGGCUCAACCUUGGAAUUGCCUUUGAUACUGAUUGUCUUGAGUACGGGAGAGGUGUGUGGAACUCCGAGUGUAGAGGAGAAAUUCGUAGAUAUUCGGAAGAACACCAGUGGCGAAGGCGACACACUGGCCCGUUACUGACGCUGAGGCUCGAAAGCGUGGGGAGCAAACAGG
rnacentral:rRNA from 1 species